GAUAAACGUUGGCGGCGUGCCUAACGCAUGCAAGUCGCACGGGGGCUUCGGCCCUAGUGGCGGACGGGUGAGUAACACGUAGGGACCUGCCCGGAAGUGGGGGACAACUCCUCGAAAGGGGAGCUAAUACCGCAUACGGUCUACGGACCAAAGCCGAAAGGCGCUUCUGGAGGGUCCUGCGGUGGACUAGCUAGUUGGUGGGGUAAUGGCCUACCAAGGCGACGAUCCAUAGCUGGUCUGAGAGGAUGAUCAGCCACACUGGGACUGUGACACGGCCCAGACUCCUACGGGAGGCAGCAGCGAGGAAUUUUGCACAAUCGACGCAAGUCGGAUGCAGCAACGCCGCGUGGGGGAAGAAGGCUUUCGAGUUGUAAACCCCUUUUGUGAGGGAAGAAGAUCUGACGGUACCUCACGAAUAAGUCACGGCUAACUACGUGCCAGCCGCCGCCGUAACAC
rnacentral:rRNA from 1 species